rnacentral:rRNA from 1 species
UACGUGUGAGGCAAGCGUUAUUCGGAUUCACUGGGCGUAAAGGGUGCGCAGGCGGCCAAGUGUGUGAGGCGUGAAAGCCCGAUGCUCAACAUCGGAAUUGCACCUCAAACUACAUGGCUAGAGCAUUGGAGAGGGUAGCGGAAUUCACGGUGUAGCAGUGAAAUGCGUAGAUAUCAGGAGGAACACCGGUGGCGAAGGCGCCUAUCUGGCCCGAUACUGACGCUGAGGCGCGAAAGCUAGGGGAGCAAACGGG